UACGAAGGGUGCAAGCGUUAAUCGGAAUUACUGGGCGUAAAGCGUGCGUAGGUGGUUUGUUAAGUCUGCUGUGAAAGCCCUGGGCUCAACCUGGGAAUGGCGGUGGAUACUGACAAGCUAGAGUGCGGUAGAGGAGGGUGGAAUUCCGCGUGUAGCAGUGAAAUGCGUAGAGAUGCGGAGGAACACCGAUGGCGAAGGCAGCCCCCUGGGCCGACAUUGACGCUCAGGCACGAAAGCGUGGGGAGCAAACAGG
rnacentral:rRNA from 1 species